GUCUCCGCAUAUUUCUCUUUCUACAAGUGGAGGGUCCACUGUCACCUAUGCAUUUUUGAUGGAGAAUUUUCAUUUGCUAUUCUUUAACUUUGCUUAGAAUUUCAGAAAACAAGUAGGGGAGAAGUGGAUUCUGCUCAUGGGUACUAGAUUUAUCUACAGUAUCAAAACUCAGUUUGAUUUUGUUAAUAAUACAGAUCUUGUAAACGGUUUUGUGUAUGAUAAUAUGUAUAGGGUCGUUAGUUUUUUCUGGGGUUUUGUCUGCAACUACACUUUUCAUCUGUUUGGUUCGUUGUUCAGACACAUCUUCAGAUUUCAGAAGGGAAAUUUUGUGAACAAGUUUGAAUCCAAUUCUAAUGAGGUUUAUCAUCAACAAGAAGAUGAUCAAUUUGGUUCAAGUUGUUCUCAGGACUCAGAGAUGGAAAAAAGCGAUGUUGAAGGGGAGAAUUCUGUUGUUAUGGAGGGUGCCUUGUUGGCUAGCACUAAUAAAUGUGAGUUCUUGUCUGGGAAAGGCAUACGUGGAUUCGUGGAAGAACCAAUAACCUUGAGCUUCACUGUCCAUGAACUGUUCCUUGAUUCAAAUAAUGAUGCAAUUGUUAAUACUCCAACUGCUGAUAAUGGACGCUCCACUCACGAGGAUUUUCAGGAAGUUGAAUUACAUUCAGAGGCAGCGGAUAAAACAGAGAAAGCAGGGGCAUUUUUCAAAAAUUUCGCAACUGAUGAGGCUUUAGAGGAGAAACAGGAACAAGAAACAUUGAUGGGGGAGAAGAAUUCUGAGGAAGAAGAGUUAAGUUCCAAUGAUGGAGUCACUGUCGACAAAGGUUUUGGAAAUCAAGACUUGGAUGCGGAGAAAACAGAGAACUCUGUCAAAAGUUGGGUCGUUGAAAAGGCUUUAGAGAAGCCAGAACAAGAAACAUCCACCGAGGAAAACAGUUAUAAUAAGCAAGAGAUGGAUGCUUUAGACCAGAGCUCUGAACUUUCUGUUAAUGGAACUGUCAGGGAAGUAUUUGAAUGCGAAAGUUUUGUGUUCAUUGAUGAGAAGAAGAUGGAACAUAUUAGAGAAGCAGAAGCAGUUUCCAUCGAAGGAGUUGGGCCUGAAAUUUGUGUGUUGGUGGAUGAGGAGAGGGCAGAACAUAAUACAGAAAUGGAAGCUAUUUCAAUGAGAGACCAAUCCAGUGAUUCUGAUGAUGAAUAUAUAGAACUACAACCCCAGAAACAGAAUUCAAAUUUAUUGGAUGAGGAAAUAUUGCCUAAAGAGCAUUUAAGCAACCUUGAUGACAAAGAAAAAGAGCAAGGGUUAAUCCACGAAAAGGCAGAACCGAAAUUUGAAGAAUCUAGCGUCCAAGGGCUAAAGCCCUUAGAUUCACAUGUUCAAAGCGAUACAGAUUACAUGUUUGAGCAACAUGACGUAAUAGAACAGCUAAAAAUGGAGCUGAAACUAGCAAGAACUGGGGGUCUUCCAACUAUUCUCGAAGAAUCAGAAUCUGAAGAAUUGGAGACUCAGAAGACGGUGCAAGAGCUAAGGCCAAUGAAGGUUGGAGACCAGAAGCUUGAGCGCAAAGAUCUCUUGGAGGGGAUUCGAAAGAUUUACAAGAGCUACGUGGACAAAAUGCGAAAAUUGGACGUCUUGAACUUCCAGACCAUGCAUGCGCUUGGCUUACUGCAGAUGAAAGACACAGUUCAGUUUCAGACAGCUCGGAAAUCUUCGGUUCCAGCAAUUAUCUCUCUUCUUUCCCAGAACUUGUGGUCAUGCAAAGGGACUGCCGUAGUUAAUCCGAUGAAAAAAAUCUUUGCAGAUAUGCAUAGUGAUUUUGACACCAUAUAUGUUGGACAGCUUUGCCUUUCCUGGGAAAUACUCCACUGGCAAUACUGGAAAGCCCAAGAACUGCAAAAGUACGACUAUCAAGGAUCCCAUCAACAUCAAUAUAAUCAAGUGGCGGGUGAGUUUCAGCUAUUUCAAGUCCUGAUACAAAGAUUUCUUGAGAAUGAGCAGUUUCAAGGUCCCAGGGUCCAGAAUUAUAUCCAGAGCAGAUGUGUCCUUCGAGGUCUUCUUCAAGUUCCUCAAGUUAGAGAUGAUAGUUUCAAGGGCAAGGGGAAAAAAGGAGAUGAAAAAGAAGAUGCAAUCACAAGCCAAAUGCUAAUAGAAACCAUUGAACAAUCAAUGCGGGAUUUCUGGGAAUUCCUUCGUGCUGAUAAAGACGAAAGCAGUCUGAUCUUACAGGGUCAUCAACAAACCCAUAUUAAUCUCCAAGACCUUGUAGAUUUAGAGCUGUUGACAGAUAUUCGAACCGAUUUUCAAAAGAAGGAUAAAAAGCUUAAAGACAUAUUGAGAAGUGGAAAUUGCAUAGUGAAGAGGUUCAAGAGGCAACAAGAAGAUGGAGUGCAUCAUAUUCACACGUUGUUCAUGGCUCAGGUGGAACUGAAACUGGUUUCUAGAGUUCUAAACAUGUCCAAACUAACAAGAGAUCAAUUGAUAUGGUGUCAUGAAAAAUUAGACAAAAUUAACUUCUGUAAUAGAAAAGUUUAUGUAGAACCCUCAUUUUUGCUCUUCCCAUGCUGACAUGGUGAGUAGUCAGUAGAUAAAUGCUUUUCAUAAAGGUCUAUAUUAUAUAUCAACAUAUACAUGUAAAGAUAGUGUCACGUUACACAUGUUUCCCAAAGCCAAAGUUAAUGGAAACAAAAUUUUCUCUCUUUUUCAAGCAAAA
rnacentral:misc_RNA from 1 species